ACUGAGUAGCCAAAAGAAAGAAAGAAGAAAAAAAAAGAAAGAAAAAAAAAAAACAGAAGAGCGAGCGCGUGAUUUCCGGCGGUUAAAAAGCUCCGCCCCCUCCCUAUAUAUUGACACGUUGCUCCAUCCUGAGCCACUCCCCCUGCUACACACGGAGCAAUGGGAAUGUCAUGGAGUAAGCUAGCAGCUAUCUGUGUCGGAGUGUGUUCGUGUGUUAGCGGAGCACUGAUGUUGGCCGUGGGACCCAACAUGCAGAGCGUCAUAUGUGACCUGGGGCGUCCGUGCCACCUCACGUGCACACAUCGUUUAUCAGGCAUCACUGACCUGAACUGGGUGAAGAAUUCUGGUUCCUAUCCACGUCUUUAUGGAGACCACGGUGACGGAGAGACGUUCAUCCACCCUGACUACAGGGGGAAGCUGUCUGUGAGCAGCUACGGGGAGUCUGAACAUGGUCUGGUGUCUGACCUGUGUCUGAUGGAGCCUGGGGUCCACUCUGAGUCUGUGUACCUCAGCCAGGCCAGGAACCAUUUAGACCAGUUCAGCCACUGCUUCCUCAACCUCACAGUGAAAGCGCCGGUGACGGACAUCGACAUCAGGAGAGAGAGGAACCAGAUCGUCUGCCGCUCAAAGAAAAACUAUCCCAAGCUUCAGCUGGAGUGGCUUCUCGACCCUUCCUGGGAAAAUGUGAACCAUUCCGAGGUGGUGCAGCAUGACCUGGACGGACUGUUCAGCGUGCAGAGCUUCCUGGACCUCCCACACUCAGAGGAAGUGGACGGAAACCUCGCCGUCAGCUGUGUCGUCAGCAGGGACCAUGAAUGGAAGAGGGGCACAUGGACCCAACGAAAUCUCCUCCUUUCCCCCGGCGUCGACCCGUGGAUCCACUGCAUUCCAGACUCCAAUGAGACGCUCCACAGCUUCACCUGGACAUUCCACCAUGAGCAUCUCAUCCUGUCACAGAACAGUAGCAGCGACGCUUCACUCAUGGUGUCUGAUGAUUGGAAGGAGAACGUGAAGAAGGUGUCUGCGUGGGGCGACCUGCAGCUCAAAGCCUUCAGUCCAAGGAAGGCGGGGCUCUACUCCUGUGUGGCUGAAGGCUUAGCGGACACCUUCUUUACCGACACCAUCCUGAACGUUGACCAAGGGCACUACAUGCGGCUGUAUUGGAUUCCCAUACUUGUCCUGGUAGGGGGGCUCCUUCUCCUCCUACUUCUGUGGAAGAUCUUUAAGAUCAUCGUUGGCUCGAGGAACAACGCUGGAAACAUGUGGUGUAUGAGGGAGAUGUACGUACACAGAAUUACAUUCAUUCUUCUUCUUUUAAACCUUCUUUAUGGACGUCCUGAUCCAGACAUCGUGGAGCAACAAACUUGCGUGAAAAUGUCGGCUACGACAAAAACCUGAAUUGUGCGUAUAAGCAGACGAGUAAUGGCAAAAAAACCAAAAACGUUUAUUUAAAAUAAAUAAAUAAAUGAAAGUCUGUCA
rnacentral:lncRNA from 1 species